rnacentral:rRNA from 1 species
UGGGGAAUUUUCCGCAAUGGGCGCAAGCCUGACGGAGCAAUACCGCGUGAGGGAGGAAGGCUCUUGGGUCGUAAACCUCUUUUCUCAGGGAAGAACACAAUGACGGUACCUGAGGAAUCAGCAUCGGCUAACUCCGUGCCAGCAGCCGCGGUAAUACGGAGGAUGCAAGCGUUAUCCGGAAUGAUUGGGCGUAAAGCGUCCGUAGGUGGUUUUGUAAGUCUGUGGUUAAAGCGUGUAGCUCAACUACAUAAGGGCCAUGGAAACUACAAGACUUGAGUGAAGUAGGGGUAGAGGGAAUUCCCAGUGUAGCGGUGAAAUGCGUAGAGAUUGGGAAGAACACCGGUGGCGAAAGCGCUCUACUGGACUUAUACUGACACUGAGGGACGAAAGCUAGGGGAGCGAAAGGGAUUAGAUACCCCUGUAGUC